rnacentral:rRNA from 1 species
CAACUGCAGUCGAGCGAACAGAUAAGGAGCUUGCUCCUUUGACGUUAGCGGCGGACGGGUGAGUAACACGUGGGUAACCUACCUAUAAGACUGGGAUAACUUCGGGAAACCGGAGCUAAUACCGGAUAACAUUUGGAACCGCAUGGUUCUAAAGUGAAAGAUGGUUUUGCUAUCACUUAUAGAUGGACCCGCGCCGUAUUAGCUAGUUGGUAAGGUAAUGGCUUACCAAGGCGACGAUACGUAGCCGACCUGAGAGGGUGAUCGGCCACACUGGAACUGAGACACGGUCCAGACUCCUACGGGAGGCAGCAGUAGGGAAUCUUCCGCAAUGGGCGAAAGCCUGACGGAGCAACGCCGCGUGAGUGAUGAAGGGUUUCGGCUCGUAAAACUCUGUUAUUAGGGAAGAACAAACGUGUAAGUAACUGUGCACGUCUUGACGGUACCUAAUCAGAAAGCCACGGCUAACUACGUGCCAGCAGCCGCGGUAAUACGUAGGUGGCAAGCGUUAUCCGGAAUUAUUGGGCGUAAAGCGCGCGUAGGCGGUUUCUUAAGUCUGAUGUGAAAGCCCACGGCUCAACCGUGGAGGGUCAUUGGAAACUGGGAAACUUGAGUGCAGAAGAGGAAAGUGGAAUUCCAUGUGUAGCGGUGAAAUGCGCAGAGAUAUGGAGGAACACCAGUGGCGAAGGCGACUUUCUGGUCUGUAACUGACGCUGAUGUGCGAAAGCGUGGGGAUCAAACAGGAUUAGAUACCCUGGUAGUCCACGCCGUAAACGAUGAGUGCUAAGUGUUAGGGGUUUCCGCCCCUUAUGCUGCAGCUAACGCAUUAAGCACUCCGCCUGGGGAGUACGACCGCAAGGUUGAACUCAAAGGAAUUGAGGGACCGCACAAGCGGUGGAGCAUGGGUUUAAUUCGAAGCAACCGAAAACCCUUACCAAAUUACUCCUUGAAAACUAGAGAUAGAGCCUUCCCCUCGGGGAAAGUGAGGGCAUGGCGUCAGCUCCGAUUGUCCCCAAGCAGCUUGCCAAUUAAGUGGGCGUUGACGCG